CGCCCCCUCCUCCGCGCAGGACGGAGCCGGCCGAGCACAGGCCGCGCGCCAGGCGUACAAAAUAAAUGUUGGCAUUGGUAGCCCAUGAAAUGGACACUGCGGUUUCCCGGCGGCCCGGCCCGUGGGCCCGGCCGCGGGGUCUGAGUUCCGCGGGGUUUCGUUUUGUGGGAGAAGGGAUAGGGCGGGCGGCAGCGGGCCGGGUUCUCCUGGGGCAGGGAAAGGGUCUGGCACCGCCGCUUUCCGCAAGUAGACGCGGUGAUACAGGCUCGGGCUUACGGCUGCGCUUUGCCGGGACCAAAGGGUUGGGUAUUAAUUGUCCACAGCUUAUCGUUUUUUACUGUCAGCACGGGAACAACAACAACAACAAACAAACAAAAAAAAAAAAAAAUCAAGAGGAAAACAAAGUGAAAUACAUCGCGCAGCUUUCUUUCUCGGAAAGGAGAAGGGGAAAUGUGAUGGAGAGAGAGCGUGCUGAUCGCAUUCAGACCAAAGCUGUGGCAAACCUCUAGCAGCGCGUUAAGCUGCUUCACGUUUGUGCUGGAGGAAAAGAUGCUCUGUAGAAACAAUACGUGCAGCUCAACCCCAGCUAAAACAACUUAUCCCAAGGAAAUUCAGUCAAUGUAUGGGAUUUCUUGACGAAGAGUGCAAUGAGGAGGAUAUUGUAUGACUCUACCAUGGCAAGGGGUAAGAGGAAAGCAGAAAAGGCAUCAUUUAUAAAACUAUUUACUUUGGAAAUGCGGGAGUCUUACUGCAACGCCAGUUCCUUCCUGAGCUCUGCCCCGAACACGACUCCACUUCAGUGGUACCUUUGUGCAUCGGGGCACUGCAUGAGCGGCAGGUUUGGCUGCUCAACUCUGGCUAAACCCGAAUUCUCUUAAGAAAGUCCCCCAUGGCAGGAUUUUCUAACAGGGAAGGUUUUGUGGAGUGUUUGGAGUAGAAGCUUGUGCAUGGAACUGAAGUGCACAAGCCCCAGCCCUGUGAAAUACGGGUGGGUGUGCAGAGGGGAGCCGCUCUCUGCAGAGUGUGAAUGGUGCCUCACCUGCGCGUUCGUCGACGCUGCGGAUGCACCGAACCGAGCGGCGGGGAUGGACCGAGAGUAUCCAGCUCCGGGGUCAGGAUGGGGCUGAAUAGCUGAGCUGAAACCUCCUGGCUGAAGUGCCAUUCAACAGCGAUCUCCGUGCAGCUCUUGGGUAUAACUCGUAGGGAUAGUGUUUCAACCACAUACUUUUCUGCCCCCGCCCCCCCCCUACCUUUUUUUUAAAAUUAUUAUUUUAAUUUUUAUUUAGUUUUUAAAUUAAAGGCCAAAGGAAGAAAAGACCCUCUCCAAUGUACACUUAAUGCAUAUAGCGUACUUCCCCUGCACCACCCCCCGCCCCAGCUUCAGCCUUCAAUCCCCCUUCACACGGGUAUAGUGGCUCUGUACUCUCGGGCUCUUUCAAGGCGGUUAAGCUGCUAAAAUGUACUGACAGCUUAAGAAAUGAAUGAGAUUUUUUUUCAGCCAUGAAGAAAGGGUAUUUAGUAACCACGCUUCGAUGGCAUCAUGCUUCCAUGAAACGAGUCCGGACACUUUGGUUUAACAAUCAGUAAUAUCACAUUCGGUACAGCAAAUGCCUCCAUGUACGCUUAUAUAAUUCUAUUCCCCCUUGACUAUAACCUUGCCUUAUUUAUUCCAGGUUACCUGGGCAAUUAAGGUAAGGACUGCUCAGCAGAUACUGAUACCCUGCUGCUAAGGCAUGGCGAGUGGGGAUGGAGCAGUGCGCUAACAAAGAGAAAGAGGUAGUCAAACAUUUUGAAGAGGGGUGAAUGGGACUGAAGGUGGAUGGAUGAAUGGAGGCAAAGAGGGAGAGGAAGCAGCAUUCAAUGGUCCAGAUUUCUCUCUGAAUUUGUAGAUUUAAGUUUAGGUGUCCGCCUCUAGUCAGCUUCCAGUUAAUCCUCAACAGCUUCUAGUGAUUAGAAGUUAGUCUAUUUAGCAUGCUAUAUCCUUCUUCCUUGGGUUUUAGUUACAAGUUAUACGAUUAGGAUUGCGAGAACAGUAGUGAACUAAACUUCCCAGUAAGAGGUCUUCACACCAGGGAAGUGUUACUUUGCUGCAGCAGCCCUGCCUCGUCAGUCAUUAGGAAGCUGCAGGUUGUCAGAGGCUUCUCUUGCGCGCACACAAGCGCAGACACACACGCGCACACACACAAAACCACAGCACUAAAACUAAAUUAAGAAGCCGAUGAUUAAGACAAGCGUCUACGAGGCCUGUCAUUUCAGCAUCCUUCCAUCAUAACAUUGUGGCACCGAGAAAUUUGCUUGAAAACCCUGGAAAAAAAUGUCUAUGGGAGAGCCUCGUAUUUGAGGCUGUUAAUAUCAAAUAUAGACUGGGAACUGCCUCGGAUGCAAGAUAGUAUUCCGCAGAGGAAAGGAGCACUGCAGAGACCUUGGUGCUAUCCGCGCACUCCCGAAACUCUGGUAAGUAUCUCUCCCUUCUAUUGAAGCAGGUACGCACUGUGUGACUGGAACUGGACCGGGUUUGAAAUCCGCAGCUAUGUUCCCUUCGGGGAACUCCACCUAAAGAUAAAUCUGUAAUGAAAGGUCCCUACUGGAUGACUAAUGGUUAUUGGCACUCGGUGCCCCUUUAAGGAGAGCAGCACAUAUUGUGCCGAAGACCUUGCAAGCACACUUUAAAUACAAACCUUUUCCUCCCAUGCAUACACAUCCCUGUUGUUUUUGGGCUAGCUGUAUUGUGUCUCUCCCCCCUGCUCUCCUUAUUUAAGCUUUCUAGUUUUCCCUCCCCCCACCCCAUUCAGAAUUAAUUGCUCAGUUACUUAAAUGUUUCAAAAAGAGCUAAAUUUCUCCAUCUGAUGAUCUUUUGAGAAGCUGCACUGUACCAUAAGGAACCGCCAGCGGGGCACUGUAUACCUUAGAGAAGCCUGAGCAACUAGAGGAGAGGUAGCGUUAAAACAAUGACAUUAAUAAACUAAGUGCACUGAGUUCCCCUCCUGUUGAACUUUAGGGAGUUUCUUGGGCGGGCAGAGGUUGAACGCAGAACGUCGAAGUGGGAAACAAUGGCUGUAGGGGCCAGAAAGCUUUGCUGAUGUCGUAAGCGUAAAACAAGACAGAAUAGUGACAGAAAGAGAUCCGAGUAAACAUUGGAGUAUACAUUUCCCACGGCGACUACGCGGAGUGGAGAGGUCUGAAUUAAAUCGCCUUAAUUAAAGGCUGAAGAUUUUAUUUAUUUAUUCCUGUAGCUGUAGAAUACUAUCCACAGAAAGCCUAUCUAGGCGGUGUAGAGCAUCCACUAGAUUUAUUGUGUUCAGCUGCCACUGCCAGAAUUUUUCAGAACAGAAUAUUUUUAUACUCACUGCCAACUUGAAGACCUGCGGGUUUUUAGAUCCUAAAUAUCGCUAUUAUUUUAUAUGCCAGUGUGCCGAAAAGAGCCGUUACACCUGCAUAGGCAAUAGGUCUAUCUGUGUAACGAAAGCUCUCCUUAAUUCAGAAAUCAAACAAAAAUAUAAAAUAUCCUUUAGGAGUUAUCCACAGCGUUAUGCAGACGACAAUAAUAAAAUGCAAGGUAGAAAUGAAAAACUUAAAAACCUUGUUUGUUCUCGAAGUUUAAAUACAUAAUUUUAUAUUCUGUUGGGUUUACUGUUUAAAAGGUUCUAGGCCGGUGCUUUUGUCGGCGUUGUGAUAUUGAAGCAAAGAAUGUGAAAUAAAAUACGGGGGACCUGGGGAGAAAAAAGAAAAACAACAAAACACACCCCAAGUAGUGCUUGAAGAAGACCUCUAGCUGCUCUUUGACUCCUAAGAAACUGUUGCUGGAAUAUUUUCAUGGUGUUGUUGUAAAGCUCCUCAGCCUCCUAUAAACGUAAUCUUUGGCAAAUGA